CCAUAAGACGGAUUUAGCAGUAAAUAGAGCAAGAGCCGCUCAAUUGAAGCUCGCCCUGAGACGCGUACACACCGCCCGUCACCCUCCUCAGAAACCAAAAACCAAAAUAACUAAACCCCUCCCCCAAAUCUACCAGAUGAGGCAAGUCGUAACAUGGUAAGUGUACUGGAAAGUGCACUUGGCAAAAC
rnacentral:rRNA from 1 species